CCAGCUGAAUUUAAGCAUACGUAUUACUAGGCGGAGGAAAAGAAUCUAAGAAGGAUUCCCUCAAUAGCGAGCUCAGGUAGAUGUCGUUUACGGGAGGUCCCAUUCUCCCAAGGCGUGGUCCCGCGAGUCCAAAUCUCCCUUGAACGGGGCCACUUCCCACAGAGGGUGCCAGGCCCGUAGGACCGCGGCCGCUCCCGGUUAGGGACUCUCCUCAGAGUCGUGUCCCAUGGCAGUGGAGCACCAAGAGGGUGGUAAACUCCAUCUAAGGAUAAAUAUGACCACGAGACCGAUAGCGAACAAAUACCGUGAGAGAAAGUUGAGAAGCC
rnacentral:ncRNA from 1 species